rnacentral:rRNA from 1 species
GGUGCUGCAUGGGCUGUCGUCAGCUCGUGUCGUGAGAUGUUGGGUUAAGUCCCGCAACGAGCGCAACCCUUGUCAUUAGUUGCUACAUUCAGUUGGGCACUCUAAUGAGACUGCCGGUGACAAGCCGGAGGAAGUGGGGAUGACGUCAAGUCCUCAUGGCCCUUAUAGGUGGGGUUACACACGUCAUACAAUGGGUGGUACAAAGAGAUGCAAUCUCGCAAGAGCAAGCAAACCUCAAAAAGCCAUCCUCAGUUCGGAUUGGAGUCUGCAACUCGACUCCAUGAAGUCGGAAUCGCUAGUAAUCGCGGAUCAGCACGCCGCGGUGAAUACGUUCCCGGGCCUU